rnacentral:rRNA from 1 species
UCUAUACUGUGAAACUGCGAAUGGCUCAUUAAAUCAGUUAUCGUUUAUUUGAUAGUACCUUACUACUUGGAUAACCGUGGUAAUUCUAGAGCUAAUACAUGCUAAAAACCUCGACUUCGGGAGGGGUGUAUUUAUUAGAUAAAAAACCAAUGCCCUCCGGGGCUCCUUGGUGAUUCAUAAUAACUUAACGAAUCGCAUGGCCUUGUGCCGGCGAUGGUUCAUUCAAAUUUCUGCCCUAUCAACUUUCGAUGGUAGGAUAGUGGCCUACCAUGGUUUCAACGGGUAACGGGGAAUUAGGGUUCUAUUCCGGAGAGGGAGCCUGAGAAACGGCUACCACAUCCAAGGAAGGCAGCAGGCGCGCAAAUUACCCAAUCCCGACACGGGGAGGUAGUGACAAUAAAUACUGAUACAGGGCUCUUUUGGGUCUUGUAAUUGGAAUGAGUACAAUUUAAAUCCCUUAACGAGGAACAAUUGGAGGGCAAGUCUGGUGCCAGCAGCCGC